UAAGGAAUAUUGGACAAUGGAGGCAACUCUGAUCCAGCCAUGCCGCGUGAAGGAAUAAGGCCCUAUGGGUUGUAAACUUCUUUUAGACGGGACAAAACCCCUUUACGUGUAAAGGGUUGAUGGUACUGUCAGAAUAAGAAUCGGCUAACUUCGUGCCAGCAGCCGCGGUAAUACGAAGGAUGCAAGCGUUAUCCGGAAUUAUUGGGUUUAAAGGGUGCGUAGGCGGACUAAUAAGUCAGUGGUGAAAGCCUGCAGCUUAACUGCAGAAUUGCCAUUGAUACUGUUAGUCUUGAGUACAGUUGAGGUAGGCGGAAUGUGUCAUGUAGCGGUGAAAGGCUUAGAUAUGACACAGAACACCGAUUGCGAAGGCAGCUUGCUAAGCUGUAACUGACGCUGAGGCACGAAAGCGUGGGGAGCAAACA
rnacentral:rRNA from 1 species